rnacentral:rRNA from 1 species
AUUGAACGCUGGCGGCAUGCCUUACACAUGCAAGUCGAACGGCAGCGCGGGAGCAAUCCUGGCGGCGAGUGGCGAACGGGUGAGUAAUAUAUCGGAACGUGCCCAGUAGUGGGGGAUAGCCCGGCGAAAGCCGGAUUAAUACCGCAUACGACCUACGGGUGAAAGGGGGGGAUCGCAAGACCUCUCGCUAUUGGAGCGGCCGAUAUCAGAUUAGGUAGGUGGUGGGGUAAAGGCCUACCAAGCCUGCGAUCUGUAGUUGGUCUGAGAGGACGACCAGCCACACUGGGACUGAGACACGGCCCAGACUUCUACGGGAGGCAGCAGUGGGGAAGUUUGGACAAUGGGCGCAAGCCUGAUCCAGCAAUGCCGCGUGCAGGAAGAAGGCCUUCGGGUUGUAAACUGCUUUUGUCAGGGAAGAAAUCCUCUAGGCUAAUACCUUGGGGGGAUGACGGUACCUGAAGAAUAAGCACCGGCUAACUACGUGCCAGCCGCCGCUGUAAGAC